CACGGUCUCUGCGACGCAGCUAACGCAUUAAGUGCCCCGCCUGGGGAGUACGAUCGCAAGAUUAGAACUCAAAGGAAUUGACGGGGCCCCGCACAAGCAGCGGAGCAUGCGGCUUAAUUCGACGCAACGCGAAGAACCUUACCAAGGCUUGACAUAUACAGGAAUAUGGCAGAGAUGUCAUAGCCGCAAGGUCUGUAUACAGGUGGUGCAUGGUUGUCGUCAGCUCGUGUCGUGAGAUGUUGGGUUAAGUCCCGCAACGAGCGCAACCCUCGUUCUGUGUUGCCAGCAUUUAGUUGGGGACUCACAGGAGACUGCCGGGGUUAACUCGGAGGAAGGUGGGGAUGACGUCAAAUCAUCAUGCCCCUUAUGUCUUGGGCUGCACGCAUGCUACAAUGGCUGGUACAAACGGCUGCAAUACCGCAAGGUGGAGCGAAUCCGAGAAAGCCAGUCUCAGUUCGGAUUGGGGUCUGCAACUCGACCCCAUGAAGUCGGAGUUGCUAGUAAUCGUAGAUCAGCAACGCUACGGUGAAUACGUUCCCGGGGCUUGUACACACCGCCCGUCACGUCACGAAAGUCGGUAACACC
rnacentral:rRNA from 1 species